rnacentral:rRNA from 1 species
UACGAAGGGUGCAAACGUUGCUCGGAAUUAUUGGGCGUAAAGCGCACGUAGGCGGCAUCGCAAGUCCCAUGUGAAAGCCCACGGCUUAACCGUGGAAGUGCAUGGGAAACUGCAGUGCUUGAGUACUUAAGAGGAUCGCGGAAUUCCCGGUGUAGAGGUGAAAUUCGUAGAUAUCGGGAGGAACACCAGUGGCGAAGGCGGCGAUCUGGGAAGAUACUGACGCUGAGGUGCGAAAGCGUGGGGAGCGAACAGG